rnacentral:rRNA from 1 species
UUCCGGUUGAUCCUGCCGGACCUUACUGCUAUCGGGGUGGGACUAAGACAUGCGAGUCGAGCGUCUCUAGCUAUGUUGAGACGCGGCAGACGGCUCAGUAACACGUGGCUAACCUACCCUCAGGACAAGGAUAAACCCGGGAAACUGGGGCUAAUACUUGAUAGGCGAAGAUGCCUGGAAUGGUUUUUCACCUAAAGGGCUUUAGAAACAUGCUUCUAAAGUCGCCUGAGGAUGGGGCCGCGUCCGAUCAGGUUGUUGGUGAGGUAACGGCUCACCAAGCCUAUAACCGGUACGGGCCGUGAGAGCGGUAGCCCGGAGAUGGGUACUGAGACAAGGACCCAGGCCCUACGGGGCGCAGCAGUCGCGAAAACUCCGCAAUGCACGAAAGUGUGACGGGGCUACCCCGAGUGCCAUCCGCUGAGGAUGGCUUUUCUUUGGUAUAACUAGCCAGGGGAAUAAGGAGAGGGCAAGACUGGUGUCAGCCGCCGCGGUAAUACCAGCUCUCCGAGUGGUAGGGAUGAUUAUUGGGCUUAAAGCGUCCGUAGCCGGCUUAGCAAGUCUCCUGUUAAACUCAGCGACCUAAUCGUUGAAUCGCGGGAGAUACUACUAGGCUAGGAGGCGGGAGAGGUCGACGGUACUUCUGGGGUAGGGGUGAAAUCCUAUAAUCCCGGGAGGACCACCAGUGGCGAAGGCUGUCGACUAGAACGCGCUCGACGGUGAGGGACGAAAGCUGGGGGAGCGAACCGGAUUAGAUACCCGGGUAGUCCCAGCCGUAAACGAUGCGGGCUAGGUGUUGGAAUGGCUACGUGCCAUUUCAGUGCCGCAGGGAAGCCAUUAAGCCCGCCGCCUGGGGAGUACGGCCGCAAGGCUGAAACUUAAAGGAAUUGGCGGGGGGAGCACCACAAGGCGUGAAGCUUGCGGUUCAAUUGGAGUCAACGCCGGG